rnacentral:lncRNA from 1 species
AGAUGCCUAGUAUCCAACUGCACUUCUCCAUGUGUGCAUUGUCCCCUGAGCUGGCAAGAAGAUCCUACUAGUUGAUCUGCAUGCCAUGCCAGCUCGGCCUUGCACCCUGGGGGCCCAGCUAUUGUCCACACCAAGGGUGGCCUACAGAGGGAAGUGAGGACCUUGGGACUUCCUCCAGGACAGCCAUCACUGUCCAAAUCUCCACCUGCUGCAGAGCUGCCUCCAGUCAAGCCCUUGUUUCCGGCUUUCUGUGCCCUAAAUAAACUGCUAGGAUUGAGCCGUCAGCAUUCUGUGGUGGGCGUCGCUGCUGUGAGGUUGCCCUCGUGCACACAAGCUCCUCACA